GGGUGAGUAACGCGUAAGGAACUUGCCUCUUGGUCUGGGACAACUGUUGGAAACGACAGCUAAUACCGGAUAUUAUGAGAUUCUCGCAUGGGAAACUUAUGAAAGCUAUAUGCGCCAAGAGAGAGCCUUGCGUUCCAUUAGCUAGUUGGUGGGGUAACGGCCCACCAAGGCGACGAUGGAUAGCCGGCCUGAGAGGGUGAACGGCCACAAGGGGACUGAGACACGGCCCUUACUCCUACGGGAGGCAGCAGUGGGGAAUAUUGGACAAUGGACCAAAAGUCUGAUCCAGCAAUUCUGUGUGCACGAUGAAGGUCUUCGGAUUGUAAAGUGCUUUCAGUUGGGAAGAAGCAAGUGACGGUACCAACAGAAGAAGCGACGGCUAAAUACGUGCCAGCAGCCGCGGUAAUACGUAUGUCGCAAGCGUUAUCCGGAUUUAUUGGGCGUAAAGCGCGUCUAGGCGGAAAAAUAAGUCUGAUGUUAAAAUGCGGGGCUCAACUCCGUAUUGCGUUGGAAACUGUUUUUCUAGAGUACUGGAGAGGUGGGCGGAACUACAAGUGUAGAGGUGAAAUUCGUAGAUAUUUGUAGGA
rnacentral:rRNA from 1 species